rnacentral:rRNA from 1 species
GACAGAGGGGGCAAGCGUUGCUCGGAAUUACUGGGCGUAAAGAGCUCGUAGGCGGUUUGGUAAGUCGGAUGUGAAAUCUCCAGGCUCAACCUGGAGGGGUCAUUCGAUACUGCCAUGACUAGAGUUCGGUAGGGGAGUGUGGAAUUCCUGGUGGAGCGGUGAAAUGCGCAGAGAUCAGGAGGAACACCCGUAGCGAAGGCGGCACUCUGGGCCGAUACUGACGCUGAGGAGCGAAAGCGUGGGGAGCGAACAGG